CAAGUGUUCGUGCAGUCGUCUCGACCAGAAUGGAGGCCACGGCAAAAUCGUGCCUGUUGACGUUCACGUGCCAUCCAACAGUCGCGCGUAUGCAGGUUUUUGAGUCAUGCUUGUUGCGCGAGAGUUGCUUGAUGAUAAAGCGGUCAUCUCUCAGUUGGUAUCUCAGUGUGCCUAGCACUAGAAAUGCUUAAGCUAGCUGCCCCUCCACAUUUUUGGCGAAUGCUUUACUUUUCUGGAGAGCACUCUCUAAAACUCAAUUAGCGGUAUACAGGGAUCUCCAUCCGCCGCAUGCACGUGUGUAUCGUAACUGGCUUGUCCCAGACUUCCACUGAAAAAGUUACAGCAGUUACCAGAGAGUUUGAAGUGUUUCUAUGCUUCACUGGAAAAGCGCGAAGAAGUUAGCUAAACUGCCGUAUUCAUUAGGAACUUUUGUAUGCCGCCCCUUUCGGCCUCUGCACCAAGGCUGUGUCCCGCCACUGGUUGCCCCUGUUUCACGCGGCUGUCCGGUCAAAAACGUCUUCGUUUCCGCGUGCGCUCCCGACUUCUACUUCUUUUUAUCCUUCCUCUGGGCUACCAGUAACCGAUGCUCAUCUUCGUUCGUGUAUGAGUGUCGUUUUCAGCGCCUACUCUGAACAGGCACACCAUCUCAACCAACGGUCCCCCUCAAUUCGGCUUGUGCCGCUCACACUGGGGGGAUGCGCCAUUCUUGUAUGACACCGCAUCGAGCAGCCAGAGGCUCGCAUCUCUGUCCGGGAGAAGGACAAAAUGGUGGCACCUCAUCUGCGUGGUGCUCUAGUCCAAAUUCACCAGUAUUGUGUAGGGCAAAUCGAAGGUUGCCCUUGUAGUGGCGGGCACGCGUGCACAGCGUGAGACGUGCGUUUGUAAGAAAACGCACAGCCUACUCGUAUCACGACAGCAAGUACUCACGGUGUACACUUGCUGCAAAUCUGAACCGGAUUCUUGGGAGUCGGCUUUACUACUGCCUGCGUGUAUCUGCUAUCCCUAAGUACAGAAGCAAACGUACCUGGCUCACCGUUUAUAAGUGUAGCACGUGGAUAGAUAAGCAUGCAUGCACGGAUAUAUCCGAAUCCGUUCUUUUCGUCUUUGUCUCUCUGCGCAGUGAUAGUAGCUGACGCAUCUCAGUGGACGGAUGCGCAGAUGCAGGGAUCGAGAUCGGUACAUCCAGACAGUUA
rnacentral:lncRNA from 1 species